rnacentral:rRNA from 1 species
GGAUCAGGUAGGAAUACCCGCUGAACUUAAGCAUAUCAAGACGGGGGGGA